GGGUUGUGAGGUUAAGCGACUAAGCGUACACGGUGGAUGCCCUGGCAGUCAGAGGCGAUGAAGGACGUGCUAAUCUGCGAUAAGCGUCGGUAAGGUGAUAUGAACCGUUAUAACCGGCGAUUUCCGAAUGGGGAAACCCAGUGUGUUUCGACACACUAUCAUUAACUGAAUCCAUAGGUUAAUGAGGCGAACCGGGGGAACUGAAACAUCUAAGUACCCCGAGGAAAAGAAAUCAACCGAGAUUCCCCCAGUAGCGGCGAGCGAACGGGGAGCAGCCCAGAGCCUGAAUCAGUGUGUGUGUUAGUGGAAGCGUCUGGAAAGGCGCGCGAUACAGGGUGACAGCCCCGUACACAAAAAUGCACAUGCUGUGAGCUCGAUGAGUAGGGCGGGACACGUGGUAUCCUGUCUGAAUAUGGGGGGACCAUCCUCCAAGGCUAAAUACUCCUGACUGACCGAUAGUGAACCAGUACCGUGAGGGAAAGGCGAAAAGAACCCCGGCGAGGGGAGUGAAAAAGAACCUGAAACCGUGUACGUACAAGCAGUGGGAGCACGCUUAGGCGUGUGACUGCGUACCUUUUGUAUAAUGGGUCAGCGACUUAUAUUCUGUAGCAAGGUUAACCGAAUAGGGGAGCCGAAGGGAAACCGAGUCUUAACUGGGCGUUAAGUUGCAGGGUAUAGACCCGAAACCCGGUGAUCUAGCCAUGGGCAGGUUGAAGGUUGGGUAACACUAACUGGAGGACCGAACCGACUAAUGUUGAAAAAUUAGCGGAUGACUUGUGGCUGGGGGUGAAAGGCCAAUCAAACCGGGAGAUAGCUGGUUCUCCCCGAAAGCUAUUUAGGUAGCGCCUCGUGAAUUCAUCUCCGGGGGUAGAGCACUGUUUCGGCAAGGGGGUCAUCCCGACUUACCAACCCGAUGCAAACUGCGAAUACCGGAGAAUGUUAUCACGGGAGACACACGGCGGGUGCUAACGUCCGUCGUGAAGAGGGAAACAACCCAGACCGCCAGCUAAGGUCCCAAAGUCAUGGUUAAGUGGGAAACGAUGUGGGAAGGCCCAGACAGCCAGGAUGUUGGCUUAGAAGCAGCCAUCAUUUAAAGAAAGCGUAAUAGCUCACUGGUCGAGUCGGCCUGCGCGGAAGAUGUAACGGGGCUAAACCAUGCACCGAAGCUGCGGCAGCGACGCUGAUGCGUUGUUGGGUAGGGGAGCGUUCUGUAAGCCUGUGAAGGUGUACUGUGAGGUAUGCUGGAGGUAUCAGAAGUGCGAAUGCUGACAUAAGUAACGAUAAAGCGGGUGAAAAGCCCGCUCGCCGGAAGACCAAGGGUUCCUGUCCAACGUUAAUCGGGGCAGGGUGAGUCGACCCCUAAGGCGAGGCCGAAAGGCGUAGUCGAUGGGAAACAGGUUAAUAUUCCUGUACUUGGUGUUACUGCGAAGGGGGGACGGAGAAGGCUAUGUUGGCCGGGCGACGGUUGUCCCGGUUUAAGCGUGUAGGCUGGUUUUCCAGGCAAAUCCGGAAAAUCAAGGCUGAGGCGUGAUGACGAGGCACUACGGUGCUGAAGCAACAAAUGCCCUGCUUCCAGGAAAAGCCUCUAAGCAUCAGGUAACAUCAAAUCGUACCCCAAACCGACACAGGUGGUCAGGUAGAGAAUACCAAGGCGCUUGAGAGAACUCGGGUGAAGGAACUAGGCAAAAUGGUGCCGUAACUUCGGGAGAAGGCACGCUGAUAUGUAGGUGAAGUCCCUCGCGGAUGGAGCUGAAAUCAGUCGAAGAUACCAGCUGGCUGCAACUGUUUAUUAAAAACACAGCACUGUGCAAACACGAAAGUGGACGUAUACGGUGUGACGCCUGCCCGGUGCCGGAAGGUUAAUUGAUGGGGUCAGCGCAAGCGAAGCUCUUGAUCGAAGCCCCGGUAAACGGCGGCCGUAACUAUAACGGUCCUAAGGUAGCGAAAUUCCUUGUCGGGUAAGUUCCGACCUGCACGAAUGGCGUAAUGAUGGCCAGGCUGUCUCCACCCGAGACUCAGUGAAAUUGAACUCGCUGUGAAGAUGCAGUGUACCCGCGGCAAGACGGAAAGACCCCGUGAACCUUUACUAUAGCUUGACACUGAACAUUGAGCCUUGAUGUGUAGGAUAGGUGGGAGGCUUUGAAGUGUGGACGCCAGUCUGCAUGGAGCCGGCCUUGAAAUACCACCCUUUAAUGUUUGAUGUUCUAACGUUGACCCGUGAUCCGGGUUGCGGACAGUGUCUGGUGGGUAGUUUGACUGGGGCGGUCUCCUCCUAAAGAGUAACGGAGGAGCACGAAGGUUGGCUAAUCCUGGUCGGACAUCAGGAGGUUAGUGCAAUGGCAUAAGCCAGCUUGACUGCGAGCGUGACGGCGCGAGCAGGUGCGAAAGCAGGUCAUAGUGAUCCGGUGGUUCUGAAUGGAAGGGCCAUCGCUCAACGGAUAAAAGGUACUCCGGGGAUAACAGGCUGAUACCGCCCAAGAGUUCAUAUCGACGGCGGUGUUUGGCACCUCGAUGUCGGCUCAUCACAUCCUGGGGCUGAAGUAGGUCCCAAGGGUAUGGCUGUUCGCCAUUUAAAGUGGUACGCGAGCUGGGUUUAGAACGUCGUGAGACAGUUCGGUCCCUAUCUGCCGUGGGCGCUGGAGAACUGAGGGGGGCUGCUCCUAGUACGAGAGGACCGGAGUGGACGCAUCACUGGUGUUCGGGUUGUCAUGCCAAUGGCACUGCCCGGUAGCUAAAUGCGGAAGAGAUAAGUGCUGAAAGCAUCUAAGCACGAAACUUGCCCCGAGAUGAGUUCUCCCUGACUCCUUGAGAGUCCUGAAGGAACGUUGAAGACGACGACGUUGAUAGGCCGGGUGUGUAAGCGCAGCGAUGCGUUGAGCUAACCGGUACUAAUGAACCGUGAGGCUUAACCUUACAACGCCGAAGCUGUU
rnacentral:rRNA from 1 species